rnacentral:lncRNA from 1 species
GGAGGCGCGGUCCUUCCAGCCUCUUGCUCCUGUGAAUCACAGGUCGGCGGGAGCCUUUUUUCCUUUUUUUUUUUUUCCCGGGGAGUCGGCCUCGGGGCUCUGCUCUCCUACCUCAGUCUGCCCUACCCUGGAAUGGGGAAAAUGCGGACAUGCCACUCAGUCCGGCCGCGAACAGUGCUCCAGAACUCAGAGAGUUUUCCAGACGGGUGGAGAUCGCGUUCCCUGCCCGCCGAGGUCCCAUCGCUUCCCUGCUGGGAAGACAAAUGAGGCGCUUUAGCCGUCUCCACGGCCAGCCCCUCCCUCAUAACCCGAGAUUCUUUGUGGGCUCUUAGUCCAUAGCUGCCUUUGAGGUGGUGUAGACCUUGCUAACCAGGACGGCCCAGUAGGCAGAGCUCAUUUUUAUUCCUGUCUGCAAUCGUGCAAAAACGCCUCUUAUGGAAAAGCCAGAGCGCCAGGAGUCAGCAAAACACACUAAAGAUUGGGCAGUCACUGGGGAGAACAUGGCCUGAAGCAACUGAAGAUCCACAAAAGAAGUGAAAAUAGCCUUAACUGAUGACAUUCCACCAUUGAGAUUUGUUCCUGCCCCACCCUAACUGAUACGAUAUAUUCUCCCCCGCCCUUAAGAAGACUCAGCCCGCCUGCACCCAGGUGAAAUAUACAGCCUUGUUGCUCACACAAAGCCUGUUUGGUGGUUUCUUCACACGGAUGCAUGUGACAUUUGGUGCUGAAGACCCAGGACAGGAGGACUCCUUUGGGAGACCAGUGCCCUGUUGUCGCCCUCACUCCGUGAGGAGAUCCACCUAUGAUCUCAGGUCCUCAGACCAACCAGCCCAAGGAACAUCUUGCCAAUUUCAAAUCGGGUAAGUGGUCUUUUCACUCUUCUCCAGCCUUUCUUGCUACCCUUCAAUCUUCCUCUCUCACUACCCUUCAAUCUCCCUGUCCUUCCAAUUCCCGUUCUUUUUCCUCUCUAGUAGAGAUAAGGAGACACAUUUUAUCUGUGGACCCAAAACUCCAGCGUCAGUCACGGACUCGGGAAGACAGUCUUCCCUUGGUGUUUAAUCACUGUGGGGACGCCUGCCUGAUUAUUCACCCACACUCCAUUGGUGUCUGAUCACCACGGGGAUGCCUGCCUUGGUCAUUCACCCACAUUCCCUUGGUGACAAGUCAAUUGCGGGGACACCUGCUUUGGCUGCUCACCCACAUUGCAGCCCAGGGCUGCUCAAUGCCCCCCGCUGCCCCACCCGCCUUCUCCGUGCCUCUACCCUCUCUUUUCUCGGGUUUACCUCCUUCACUAUGGGCAACCUUCCACCCUCCAUUCCUCCUUCUUCUCCCUUAGCCUGUGUUCUCAAAAACUUAAAACCUCUUCAACUCACACCUGACCUAAAACCUAAGUGUCUUAUUUUCUUCUGCAACACCGCUUGGCCCCAAUACAAACUCGACAAUGAUUCCAAAUAGCCAGAAAACGGCACUUUCGAGUUCUCCAUCCUACAAGUUCUAGAUAAUUCUUGUCAUAAAAUGGGCAAAUGGUCUGAGGUGCCUGACGUCCAGGCAUUCUUUUACACAUUGGUCCCUCCCUAGUCUCUGCUCCCAAUGUGACUCAUCCCAAAUCUUUCUUCUUUCUCUCCUUUCUGUUCCUUCGGUCUCCACCCCAAGUUCCGAGUCCUCUGAAUCCUUCUUUUCUAUGGACUCAUCUGACCUCCCCCCUUCUCCCCAGGCUGCUCCUCGCCAGGCUGAGCCAGGUCCCAAUUCUCACUUAGCCUCUGCUCCCCCACCCUAUAAUCCUUUUAUCACCUCCCCUCCUCACACCUGGUCCAGCUUACAGUUUCGUUCCUCGACUAGCUCUCCCCGAUCUGCCCAACAAUUUCCUGUUAAAGAGAUGGCUGACUAUCCUGACUUCAUCAGAGCAGGCUGGUGCCUGGCCUUCCUGGAAUGAGUGGGUGUUCUGACAGGCCCCCAGUUUGUCCCAUCUGCACCGCCAAGAGGUCUCCGGGUGGCCAGAGGAGCAAAGUUGCCUUCCAAGUGCCUGUUGGUGCCUGGGAGAACACAGCAGGAGUGUCGUGCGGCCCACAGCGCAGUGCAUGGUGAUUCCAGGCGCUGAACAACUCCCCUUGACCCUUGGGCCUGCAUCUGACUCCCGGCUGCAGAAUCAGAAGCUGAGUCCAGGCAACCGCUCGGCCACUCCCGGUCACUCCUCUCUGGACACCCAGUUACUAAAGUCAGCAAAGAAGAUGCGGUAAUCACCGCCUGAUCUCCACAUGGUGAACACAACACUCUCACUAACACCUCCUUGACCAGUCAGUCUUCAGCACUGGGGGUGGACAGGCAGGUUUUCUGUGUUUACCAGAAUCGCACAGGCUAAGCACAAACAUGGAACCAGAGUUCCAGGUGAGGAAACCUCACUCGCAGAAGCCCAGGCUGCACCCCACCAGGUGAUGCAGUGCGCCUAGGCUGUGGGUGCUAGGAGCCAAGUGCUAGGGACUCGUCAUGAGUGGGAAUCCCCACGUUCCUGUCACUGCUGUCAAACAGAAGGUAAACAGUCUUACGAAUGUAAUUCCUUAGGAAGACUUGUACAAACUUUUAUUAGGAUAUCUAUUUAUUUAAUACUGAACUUUGGCCUACUUUGUGAUAAGACUAUAAACAAAUUGAGGAAAUCACUAUUUCUCACUUCUGUAUUUCUCAAAAAAUAAUUUUGUUACAGAGUUCAAUAUACUGUGUACUACUGAUCUUCUAUUGUGAAAGCAAAGCAUUUCAUCAAAACAAAGUAUUUUAAAUUAUGAGUGAAAAUUGUGUAUGUUAAUUUUG